UAAAAGUAGUGUAAUUCGGAUUUAUGUGCAGCGAAGUGCUUGUGGAGAAGAUAUUGUUAGUGAAGGAAAAUUAAGACGUUCGAAUUGAAGAGUGACUAAAUCUUAGAAGAUAGACAAAGGGUGAUAUAGAUUAUAUAGUCUUAUGCAAAGAGGAGGCUUUGGAGUGAUUUAUAAUAGAAGAAAAGUAAGAAGUGAAGGUUUGGAAGAAGCAAACCGUCAAGAAGGUAAGUAAUGCAAAUUAAAGUUUUAAAUGUAAUUCUUGUUAAUUUUACAUUGUAUAUUAGUAUUUGAAUGAAUGCAAGAGAAAUAUGCAUUCCAAGCAAUUCUCUGGCUAAAGGAUGUUCCUAACUUAGUUUCCAUAUAUGAAAGACCUCUUAUA